GACGAACAUCUGCUCGAGGACACCCUGCUCGACGAUGCUCCUCUUCGCUAGCAUCUCCAUUGCAUGAUAGGGGGAGAGUUCUUGUACUCAGAGCAGCUGUUGAUCUGCAGCAACUCUAGAAGUAGGAUUUAGGAUAAUCAUAGUUUCAGUUUGCCAAGCAGGGAGUAUAAUUUAACUGGAAAUCAACCAACUAUUGCUUUGAACUGGAGUAUAAUUACUGAAGCGGGUCGAAGUGGGACGAUGUGGUUCGGUGGUCAACGGCGGCUGCGCGGGAUGCAGUAUGGUAUGGCUUGAGCAUCUCGAGGAGGGGCUCUCUCCGCAAGGCAUCCUCUACGCCACGGCGGAGGUGUUCGAGUAGUCUGUCCCGGGGCUGCGCGUGGAGCACGUCGACGUCUCCGUCUUGCCAUUGCUCAGCACCGCCCUGCCGGCUGGGGUUCUUAUUUGCCAUCGAGGCCUUCCGCAACUGGGACCAUGGUGCCUGAUAGCUUCCUCUCCGGCUGGAUCGGCAGUCUAUCCACCCAGAGGAGUGUAAUGUUGAGAUCAAUGUCGGGAUCCGCAGGUUUCUAUGGCGUAGCAUCAGAUUAAUAUUGCCAAGCCUGAGCUGGCGGUUCAUAUGGAAGAUCCCAUGGGCCAGCAGCUGGAGCCUGGAAGCAGAUGUUAAUGCUCCAUAGCAGAGAGUUUAGGUUUACAGCAAGCAGCAACUACCAAAUUUUCCAUGGUUAGUGUUGAUUCCUAAUGAUCUGUGGCUUAUAACAUUGACGACAACAUCUAGGCUAUCUCAAAUUUACCAUCAGAUUAGUGAUCUUUAUGCAUGAUUGGUUUAAAUU